GCUUCGUCGUCCGUUUGGUGGACCCACUGUUUAAUUGAAAAUAAAAUUCACCAGCUUUGAUGUUUGCUGGACUCACUUUUUAAUUUAUUUAAUAAAAUUCACCAGCUUUGAUCCAGAAACUUCUACAAAGUAGUAGAAGCUACAACUUCCGCCCAAAACCCAAUCCAGAUAGUUUUCAUCCUCUUCACAUACAGUAAAUCAAGAAGCUUCUCAUCAAUUUAUACCGCCAAAAAUAUAGUAUAAUUUUGCUCAGACUGGUGCUGCAAUUUUCAGAUAUCAGGUAUUAAUUUUUGAACUCUUCUACUUUGAGCAUCAGUCUUCUAAAAAGUAGAAACUACGGUUUUGGGGAUUUAAGUACAAGGUGUUUGAUAAUAUGUGUAAGAGAAAUGGGUAGGAAAGAGCAAGGGUAGGGAAGACUAAGAGGUUUAACUUUGUGUUGUAGUGAUUGUGUACAUAUGUCUGUUCAGCCUCUUUAAUUUAAGGACAAAUACUCUAUAUCGACGGUCAACUUUCACUGAUAAAUGAAGACCAACAUUUCUGCUCCAUGGCAUGCUCAGAUUGUAAAAUGCCAUUUUUAAGAACUACUUCACCAAGGCCAAUCUACUGCAUCCAGUGCGAAAGAUCCACCCAACUUAUUCCCAGUUAUGGUCAUGGAUCGCACUGGUAGCACAGUAGCCUCCAUCUCGGAUCAAUCAGCAACGAAGAUGCUGAACCUCACUGUACAAGAGAUUUAUGAAAUCUGCCAUGCACAGAGAAAAGUGCUGCUACUUGACAAUGCGCAUAAACAAUUGGGACCAAAGACUUUCAGAAUCCAGAUGAAAAGAUUAUUUUCCAAAAAUCAAGAUAAGCUAGCUAUCAUGAAUUAUGAAGAAAAAUAACCUACCAACCAACCAUUACCAACUACACCAAUGAUCAACACUGCUGAAGCAAGCAAGCGCAAGGCUAUGGAGAUUAGCUUCGACCAAACGAAUCAGCAGAACCUGCCCACCAAAGACAGACCUUCCAGCACUAGACAGAAAACAGAAACCAAGACUCCUCUCAAAAGGGAGUGAAAGCUACUGGAGAUGUAAGUCUUACAAUUUCACACAUAACUGAAUCUUCUCCUUACUUAUUACCAUUAUUAAAGUUACCAUCUUGGAGAAUCUUCUCUAGCUUACGUUACAAAUAUCACUUCUCUGUUUGGAUUUUAUGUAUUCUGCUAAAUUGAGAUAUGCAAUGAUAUCUUAUUUAUGUCUUUGACUUUUUUGUUUAGUUGAAACAAUGCUACUUCAUUUUUUGUCAAUAAAAAUGGUUAAAAUGACUCCUUUUGUGCUUUAUGAAACAGUGCUACUUUCAUUCUACUUUAGCAGUUAAAAUAAAGGGAGGAAAAAAAGAGAGAGAGAGAGACUAUAAUUAUGUUUAUAAUACAUAAUGAGCAUGAGACUUUCGUACUAAUACACGUGAAUGUAUUUUUAUAGUGUUAUGUUAGAAGUUAUUAGUAUGGAAAGUUUUAGGGUAAUUCUUCAAAACUUCCAUUCUAUUCAGUAGUAGUUGGAUUGAUUCACUUUGAAAUUUUAGCACUCUUUGUACUAGCAUUUGGGUUUUAUGUAUUCUGCCAAAUUGAGAUAUACAAUAAUAUCUACUGUAGGGCAUAGGUGUUGGGAUCACAUAUCUAAACCUCCAUAUUUCUAGGCAAUUUUUCAGAGGAAACACUCUUCCUAUCUUUUCCACUGUUCUGAUAAGUAUUUCUGCUCGAUAUUUCAUAAAUGACAUCCUCAAUAUCAUGAAAUUCCACCCAUAUCUUCUUAUCUCCAUCUAUCUGAUUCUGCAACUCUCUAAAUAAAUUCUCAUACUUCAUGUUUUUUUUAUUCAAUUUUUGUGCCUUCUAAUCAAUAUGUCUUUUGUCUAUUUACUGUUUGGUACUCCAUAACUUUUAGAUGGAUAAUACGUUGUCUUUAGGACAUAUGAGCCAUUACACGUUGCAUAUAUGCUGCAACAUUUUCUCUUCGAAGAUUUGGUUGUUUAUUCUCCGCUAUGCUAAUAGAAACUUGAUUAAAAAAAGUUGGCAACUUCCUUUCUUUGGCCAACAAAAAUGCAUAACAGAUGCUUUUCAUUCGCUAAAAACAACACUCUAAUUUUAAACUCCAAUUUGAUGUGUUGAUGGAUCUCUAUGGUACAUCUGGAACAUAUAUCCAAAUUCACAUUUUUCUUUACUAAUUUGAUUUGUUUGGAUGUUAUAUAUUAUGAUGUGUAUUAUUCCUUGCUGAAUUAUGCAUGACAUGUUACUCUUUUGACUCCACAUCUUAUAGAAAAAUUCUAGAGGGUCUGCUGCUCUUUUUGUUUGUUAAAAAAAUUUAAAGAAUGUUUAAAUUGACUCCCAGAAUAGUAAUUGGGAUGGGGGAAGUAAUUUUCAGUGUGUGACUAUAGGAGAUAAAUACUUUGUCAACCAGGUUGACUAUAGGAGGAAAUAGAGUUUUUUCCCCCUCUUGGUGGAUUCAAGUCAUGUUGCUUAUGAAAGUUUUUAAAGUAAUUUAUUGUCUUUCCUAAUGUAGCGAAAAAAAUUGUAACUUUUUGUUUGUUAAAAGAAUUUGAAUAAUGUUUCAAUUGACACCCAGAAUAGUAAUUGGGAUGAGGAAGUAAUUGUUAACAGAGAAUAUGUUUUUAGUAUUUACAGGGGAAACUAGGUUUUCAGACUAGAAUUAGCUGUGCACUUCACUGUGUAUAUGGUUGGUGGAGAGGUGGGGGCUUAAAAUGAUUUUGACGCCCCCUGCUUUAAAAAGGUACAUGACACAGCUAGCAGAACUGCACUACUACUACACUCUCUACAUCCAUCACCUGAAAACUUGCAUUAAUUUUAACAACAAAUUUCUACAGGUAUUUUGUCAACCAUGGCGUUGCACAACUACAACAUGCAUGAUUACUACUAAGAAAAUACUUUUUCUGUAAAUAUGUAAUAUAAAUGAUGUAUAUAUGACAGUGCAAUCAUCAAUGUAAUAGACAAAUGUAUAUAUGCAUAAACAAUGCAAACUUAUUUUAGUUGUCUUA